CGAACGGGUGAGUAACGCGUAGGUUACCUGCCUUGUAGCGGGGAUAACUAUUGGAAACGAUAGCUAAUACCGCAUAACAAUGGGUGACCCAUGUCAUUCAUUUGAAAGGGGCAACUGCUCCACUACAAGAUGGACCUGCGUUGUAUUAGCUAGUAGGUGAGGUAACGGCUCACCUAGGCGACGAUACAUAGCCGACCUGAGAGGGUGAUCGGCCACACUGGGACUGAGACACGGCCCAGACUCCUACGGGAGGCAGCAGUAGGGAAUCUUCGGCAAUGGGGGCAACCCUGACCGAGCAACGCCGCGUGAGUGAAGAAGGUUUUCGGAUCGUAAAGCUCUGUUGUAAGUCAAGAACGAGUGUGAGAGUGGAAAGUUCACACUGUGACGGUAGC
rnacentral:rRNA from 1 species